AUUGAACGCUGGCGGCAGGCCUAACACAUGCAAGUCGAGCGGUAACAGAGAGGUGCUUGCACCUUUGCUGACGAGCGGCGGACGGGUGAGUAAUGCUUGGGAACAUGCCUUGAGGUGGGGGACAACAGUUGGAAACGAUGGCUAAUACCGCAUAAUGCCUACGGGCCAAAGAGGGGGACCUUCGGGCCUCUCGCGUCAAGAUAUGCCUAGGUGGGAUUAGCUAGUUGGUGAGGUAAUGGCUCACCAAGGCGACGAUCCCUAGCUGGUCUGAGAGGAUGAUCAGCCACACUGGAACUGAGACACGGUCCAG
rnacentral:rRNA from 1 species